AUAUGAUGCAUUUACCAAAUUUGCACACAUUAAGAAACGCCAUGAGGUAGACUGAAUAGUGAAGCCAAAUUCACUGUGUUUUGGUCAAUAAAGUACAUUUAUAAAGCAGCAUAUUUCAAUCUCCCAUCAGUCACAAAAAGCAAUUGUAUAAGUUAUAGCAAAAUAAACAUGGCAUUGGUAGAAUACACUUUACAUUCAUGUGCAUGUCCCUUGAUCUGGGAAUUGUAGGCUUUACAUAGUACACUUAAUUCUUUGGUGAUGGGCUGUAUGACUGUAUAUCAGAAGUUGUGCGAAUCAACAUCUUAACUAUAGAAAAUGGUUUGUUUUUGUUGUUGAAUAUGAAAUUUAAUGCAGAAUGCUGUAAAUCGCACGUAUCAUUGUGUCUACUGUCUUAACAUCAUGUUCCUACAGCACAAAAAAAUAAAGAGAAAAUAAAAAAAAUAAGAACGUAAAAUAAAGCAUAAACAAAAUAUAAAAUAUUUUUUCCCCAAACCAAGAACUGAAAUAAUUUAGUGCAAAUUUAAAACGGUCAGCAGGUUUAAAGGGGAACAUAUUGCACUGCAGGAACCUUUGGCAGUAAGGGUACCACAACAUCGAAAUUUACAUACAGUUUUGUAACAAUACUGAAACAUACAGAUCCAACCAACAUUUCAUGAAGUUGAGCCAAUACAAAUCUUCCUCCUAUAACCAAAACCAAACACCAGGAAAAAUUAAUUGGUUAUCAUCGUCCUGACUCAAUACCCCAACACAUUUCUAUUUAUUCUCUAGACAGUGGGUUGUGGUGAUUUGGCAACAAAGUUGUGAGAUUUAAACAAAAAGUUUGAGGGGAAAAAAAGAAAUUACUCAAAUCUUUAGCUUUUCCCCAAUAUCUGUCGUAAAUGUUGUGCUCACCACAAUUAUUUAGUGAAUAUAGUCAUUUGUGCAUGAGGGAGAGUUCAUAAGACAAGCUCAAUAGCAAAAUAAUUGUAAAAAAAAUAUAUAAAAUAAAAUAAAAAGUGUAUCAAAACAUUUGCUCUAAAAUAGACCAUGUAUUUUUAAAAUGUGCUACAUAAGUCCUUGCUUUUUUCUUUUACGAAUAUAUUAAAUAUUUUGUUCUAAUUUGUAAACAUUUAUUUUUUUAAACAUAAUACUUGGAUUUAUUUAUUUUUUUUUUUUUUUAAAACGUGUUGUGGACAUGGUUAAUAUUUUCCCAAGGUGUGGGUGAGAGAUGGCCAAUACUGGUAUAUUGAAGAUGGUAGUGUAUUGGGGUUAAUAAUGAACAUUUACAAAUCCCCCCCCACACACACACACACACAAUCACUAAUGCUUAGAUCAGGUGUGCCAAAGUUUGGUCCACACAGCUGUUGCACUACACUUCCUGUAGUUCUAUGCCUGACAUUUUUACAGAGAAUUAUGGGAGUUCUAGUCGGACAACAGCUGUAGCGCUACAGCUGAUCACCCUUGGUAUAAUUCACGAGUGCGUGUGCAUAUCAUUCACUGUUCAAAUAUAUUAUAGUUGUAUUGUCUUCCAAGAUUUCUGCCAACAAAGUUAUUCAUCAGCAAAAUUGUAACUUGGAAAGUUCCAUUUCCCAC
rnacentral:lncRNA from 1 species